UCAAGUCCGUCCCAUUAGACUUAUUUCCAAAGCUUUGUGACAUCUAUAUCUUUGGGUGUAGGAAUUUGGAAUCCUUGACAGUUUCUGAAGAACAUAGACAUGAUUUAAUGACAUUGCAAAUACAAAUCAUAGAUUGCCCUUGUUUUGUAUCUUUUCCAAAAGGAGGAUUGCGUGCCGCCAACCUUACAUUGCUUUGGGUUUGGAAUUGUGGAAGUUUGAGGUCAUUACCAGAUAAGAUGCACUCUUUCCUCUCAUCUCUUGAGGAAUUGCAAAUAGUCAAUUGUGCAGAAGUUGAGUCUUUUCCUGAGGGGGGUUUGCCUUGUAAUCUGAAAUCGAUGUCCAUCAUUGAUUGUGACAACCUCGUUGCCGAACGAAUGGGAUGGGGUUUGCAAAAGCUCCCAUUUCUUAAAAAUUUGUUUAUUUGUGGUGAAAGGGGAAAUGUAGAGUCCUUUCCGGAGGUGGGAUUGCUGCCCACCAAUCUGACUGCUCUUCAAAUAAUGAAUUUUCCAAAUAUGAAAUCUUUGGAUAAGGGGCUUCAACAGCUCACCUCUCUUGAAGAAUUGCGGAUCUAUAACUGCCCUAUGCUCAAGUACAUGCCAGAAGAGGGCUUGGCUGCCUCUGUUUCUGUUUUAUUGAUCAACAAUUGUCCUUUGGUAAAGAAACAAUGUCAGAGGAAAAAAGGAAAAGAAUGGCGGAAGAUUGCUCAUGUCCACCUAAUAAUGAUUGAUGAUGAAUUGAUUGAAUGAGCUAAAUGUCUAGCAAGAAUCUCCACUCAGAAUUUCGAAGAUCUAAGAGCUAGCUCGAUUUUGACUACACAAAGCAACACGUCUGUUUCCAAAGUAUGAGUGGAUGAAAAAGGACAUGGCUUCCGUUUGAUUGAUCAAAAGCUCCUUGGUUAAUUUUCA